AGUGCAUGAUGACAUCUUGGUAAUGCUGCAGAUUCCUGACUACGCAGUGGGGAGGCCAGCAGGGGGAAAAACAGCGAGAUGACAUU